AGCGCCCCAGGCCCCAGCCUAGGAUGAAAGCCACGGAGGCCCAGUCCAGCCUUUCCAGGGAUGCGAGCAGUACAUCGAUCGAUCGAUACUGCCUUCGGCCGGCCCUUCGCCUCGCCUGUUCGUCUGCUCGACUGCGCUUCAUGCCCUUCCUGUUUCGCCUCUGUACUCGCCACCUAUCGGCAGAUCGCGGCAAGUCGCCGAAUCAGUGAAGAAAAGAAGGCAUAGGGAAUUAGGGGUACUUGAUAAUACUAGAGAUUUUGGCUGUAUUGGGUAAUUGGACUAUUUGAGAUCAGGGUGUUUGAGAUAAUUGUGCAACCAGUGGAGACGGCUGGAAGCACCGGCACCAUGUCAAGAGAGGCUCAGUUCAUGGAAAGGUUUCUAAAAAAGAGGAGAACCUCGGUGCAAGAUGAAAAUGUUGGUCCGUCACACGAAAAUAAUCAGAAUGAUGGCUCGGUCCCGACACAAUCGGAUAGACAAAUUGAUGCCUCAACACAUGAACAGAUUGAUGUUCCGACCCCCGCCAUCAUCACAUGGACAAAAUGAUGCCUCCACACAUGAACCUAGUUCUGCUAAUACUACAAGAAAUUCCUUUGAAGUUGAAGAGCUCAAUUGGGAAGAAGAAAUUCAAUUUGAUCCAGGUAAAAGGAGAAGCAUAGAUGAGUACCAUCCGAAUCAGAGAGAUAUGGUAAGAAGGAAGUAUUUGGCCAAUGGCCCUUCUCAACCUCGUACUGCAG